GCCCGGAUCAUGUCCGGAGGCUCAUUAAACCAAACUAAACCAUCGAACUGAUCAGCAUGCUUAGCUACAACAUGAGCUGCCUCAUUACAUCAUCUACUGACAUGGAUGAAGAUUUGCACAACUUAAAUUUUUAACAUCCUGAAUGAUAACUCCAACAUGAGAUCCAUCAAGUGGGAGUUAACCUUGUUGACAACACUUUGAC
rnacentral:lncRNA from 1 species